rnacentral:rRNA from 1 species
UACGAAGGGACCUAGCGUAGUUCGGAAUUACUGGGCUUAAAGAGUUCGUAGGUGGUUAAAAAAGUUGGUGGUGAAAUCCCAGAGCUUAACUCUGGAACUGCCAUCAAAACUUUUUAGCUAGAGUAUGAUAGAGGAAAGCAGAAUUUCUAGUGUAGAGGUGAAAUUCGUAGAUAUUAGAAAGAAUACCAAUUGCGAAGGCAGCUUUCUGGAUCAUUACUGACGCUGAGGAACGAAAGCAUGGGUAGCGAAGAGG